UAGGGAACCCGCUUAUAUCAGUCGUUCAAACCCUUUUUCAUAGUUUAUCUAACGUUUAUGCUGAGGCGCUUAGUCAUGUACCUGCAGCAGACUCUAUACUCUGAAAGUAAAGUCUGUAGUUCCCAUGCAACGGGGACGAGCAUGAUUUAAAGGGGGGAGGGUGUAACCCGGGUGUUUUUCCGCUCCCCUUGGCCUUGGUGCACUGUCUCUUUAAAUGGGGCGCCACACCACGGCUCGCGAGUGUUGUGGGUCUCGGGAGUGUCUGAGCUGCUGCAGAUGCCUCCUGCUGUAUGACGAUGUGCUGAGAAUGACUAUUAAGCGGAACUGGCCAGGUUCCAGUAUUGGAUGGCGAGCUAGAAGGCCCCGAGCCUGGACAUAUUGAGUGCGCCCGUCCGCCGGUGCGGUAGGAGGCGCUGCAGCCACUCCCCACACACACCCACUUGCACACACGCACACUAACAACCUCCGCUGGUGGAUUGUUUGAACUUUGCGAGUUUUGCACAGACUGAAACCCAGGUUCACCAAACUUGACGAUCUGAACUCUUUGUGCGCCUAAGUGGAUCUAUGAACUCUUCUUUCACAGCAACGUGGAUUUAUGAACAAUACUGCUUG